CCUACGGGAGGCAGCAGUGAGGAAUAUUGGUCAAUGGGCGAGAGCCUGAACCAGCCAUGCCGCGUGCAGGAUGAAGCAUCUAUGGUGUGUAAACUGCUUUUGUACAGGAAGAAACACCGCUACGUGUAGCGGCUUGACGGUACUGUAAGAAUAAGGAUCGGCUAACUCCGUGCCAGCAGCCGCGGUAAUACGGAGGAUCCAAGCGUUAUCCGGAAUCAUUGGGUUUAAAGGGUCCGUAGGCGGUUUUAUAAGUCAGUGGUGAAAUCCGGCAGCUCAACUGUCGAACGGCCAUUGAUACUGUAGAACUUGAAUUAUUGUGAAGUAACUAGAAUAUGUAGUGUAGCGGUGAAAUGCUUAGAUAUUACAUGGAAUACCGAUUGCGAAGGCAGGUUACUAACAAUAUAUUGACGCUGAUGGACGAAAGCGUGGGGAGCGAACAGGAUUAGAUACCCUGGUAGUCCACGCCGUAAACGAUGGAUACUAGCUGUUUGGUCGCAAGACUGAGUGGCUAAGCGAAAGUGAUAAGUAUCCCACCUGGGGAGUACGGGGCGCGAAGCCGUGAAACGUCAAAAGGAAGUUAGACGG
rnacentral:rRNA from 1 species